GAUGAACGCUGGCGGCGUGCCUAAUACAUGCAAGUCGAGCGAACGGACGAGAAGCUUGCUUCUCUGAUGUUAGCGGCGGACGGGUGAGUAACACGUGGAUAACCUACCUAUAAGACUGGGAUAACUUCGGGAAACCGGAGCUAAUACCGGAUGAUAUUUUGAACCGCAUGGUUCAAAAGUGAAAGACGGUCUUGCUGUCACUUAUAGAUGGAUCCGAGCUGCAUUAGCUAGUUGGUAAGGUAACGGCUUACCAAGGCAACGAUGCAUAGCCGACCUGUGAGGCUGAUAGGCCACACUGGAACUUGGACACCGUCCAGAGUCCUACGGGAGGCAGCAGUAGGGAACCUGCCGCAAUGGGCGAAAGCAUUACGGAGCAACGCCGCGUGAGUGAUGAAGGUCUUCGGAUCGUAAAACUCUGUUAUUAGGGAAGAACAUAUGUGUAAGGAACUGUGCACAUCUUGACGGUACCUAGUCAGAAAGCCACGGCUAACUACGUG
rnacentral:rRNA from 1 species